AUUGAACGCUGGCGGCAUGCCUUACACAUGCAAGUCGAACGGCAGCACGGGUGCUUGCACCUGGUGGCGAGUGGCGAACGGGUGAGUAAUACAUCGGAACGUACCUUAUCGUGGGGGAUAACACAGCGAAAGCUGUGCUAAUACCGCGUACGCCCUGAGGGGGAAAGCGGGGGAUCGAAAGACCUCGCGCGAUUAGAGCGGCCGAUGCCUGAUUAGCUUGUUGGUGGGGUAAAAGCCCACCAAGGCGACGAUCAGUAGCUGGUCUGAGAGGACGAUCAGCCACACUGGGACUGAGACACGGCCCAGACUCCUACGGGAGGCAGCAGUGGGGAAUUUUGGACAAUGGGGGCAACCCUGAUCCAGCAAUGCCGCGUGAGUGAAGAAGGCCUUCGGGUUGUAAAGCUCUUUUGUCAGGGAAGAAACACCGGCUCUAACACAGUCCGGGAAUGACGGUACCUGAAGAAUAAGCACCGGCUAACUACGUGCCAGCAGCCGCGGUAA
rnacentral:rRNA from 1 species